AGAGUUUGAUCAUGGCUCAGGAUGAACGCUGGCGGCGUGCCUAAUACAUGCAAGUCGAACGAGGUGCUUUUGUAGCAAUACGAGAGUAUCCUAGUGGCGAACGGGUGAGUAACGCGUUGGCGACCUACCCCAAAGUGUGGGAUAACAGUCCGAAAGGAUUGCUAAUACCGCAUGUGGUUAUUGGAUUUAGAAACCGGUAACUAAAGGAGCAAUUCGCUUUGGGAGGGACCUGCGUCCCAUCAGCUAGUUGGUGAGGUAAUGGCUCACCAAGGCGACGACGGGUAGGGGACCUGAGAGGGUGACCCCCCACAAUGGAACUGAAACACGGUCCAUACACCUACGGGUGGCAGCAGUAGGGAAUAUUGCUCAAUGGGCGAAAGCCUGAAGCAGCAACGCCGCGUGUGUGAUGAAGGCCUUCGGGUCGUAAAGCACUUUUCUGGGAGAUGAGAAAGGACAGUAUCCCAGGAAUAAGUCUCGGCUAACUACGUGCCAGCCGCCGCGGUAAUAC
rnacentral:rRNA from 1 species